GAUGAACGCUGGCGGCGUGCUUAACACAUGCAAGUCGAACGGAAAGGCCCAAGCUUGCUUGGGUACUCGAGUGGCGAACGGGUGAGUAACACGUGGGUGAUCUGCCCUGCACUUCGGGAUAAGCCUGGGAAACUGGGUCUAAUACCGGAUAGGACCACGUCUUGGAUGUUGUGGUGGAAAGUUUUUUCGGUGUGGGAUGAGCUCGCGGCCUAUCAGCUUGUUGGUGGGGUAAUGGCCUACCAAGGCGUCGACGGGUAGCCGGCCUGAGAGGGUGUACGGCCACAUUGGGACUGGGAUACGGCCCAGACUCCUACGGGAGGCAGCAGUGGGGAAUAUUGCACAAUGGGCGCAAGCCUGAUGCAGCGACGCCGCGUGGGGGAUGACGGCCUUCGGGUUGUAAACUCCUUUCGCUAGGGACGAAGCGUUUUUGUGACGGUACCUGGAGAAGAAGCACCGGCUAACUACGUG
rnacentral:rRNA from 1 species